AUAGAUUCCUUGAUUACUAAGUGGCGCUAUAAUCACGUUAUGAUGGUUCAACGCAUGAUUGGAAGUAAAAUAGGGACAGGUGGAUCUUCUGGUUACCAUUACUUACGGUCAACCAUCAGUGAUCGAUACAAGGUCUUUGUUGAUCUGUUUAAUUUAUCGACAUUCCUAAUUCCACGUCAAUACAUCCCACCACUAACGAGAAGUAUGAAGAAGACCCUCAGUACAGUGUCCACCUCACGUCUACCAGAAACCGACGAAAUAAGUGAUGUCACCGACCAGCUGGAGAAACAAACAUUCGGAUCGAGUCCGCGUCAAAUGACUGGAACAAGUCCACGAACUAGACCUGAACUAUUCACCUAACAGACUAAAUGCACGUACUUUGACACAUUAGCACAUUACGUGAUCGCUAUUUGUAAAGUGAAUAAACAAAAAAAGAUGCCCUUGUAAAAAAUAUGGAAAUAAGUCAAAAU